rnacentral:rRNA from 1 species
AGAGUUUGAUCCUGGCUCAGGAUGAACGCUAGCUACAGGCUUAACACAUGCAAGUCAAGGGGCAGCAUGGUCUUAGCUUGCUAAGACCGAUGGCGACCGGCGCACGGGUGAGUAACACGUAUCCAACCUGCCUUAUACUCCCGAACAGCCUUCUGAAAGGAAGAUUAAUACGGGAUGGUAUCACGGGCCAGCAUUUUCUCGUGAUUAAAGAAUUUCGGUAUAAGAUGGGGAUGCGUUCCAUUAGAUAGUAGGCGGGGUAACGGCCCACCUAGUCUACGAUGUCUAGGGGUUCUGAGAGGAAGGUCCCCCACACUGGUACUGAGACACGGACCAGACUCCUACGGGAGGCAGCAGUGAGGAAUAUUGGUCAAUGGUCGGGAGACUGAACCAGCCAAGCCGCGUGAGGGAGGAAGGUACAGAGUAUCGUAAACCUCUUUUGUCAGGGAACAAAGGCGGGGACGUGUCCCCGGAUGAGUGUACCUGAAGAAAAAGCAUCGGCUAACUCCGUGCCAGCAGCCGCGGUAAUACGGAGGAUGCGAGCGUUAUCCGGAUUUAUUGGGUUUAAAGGGUGCGCAGGCGGUCUGUUAAGUCAGCGGUCAAAGCCCGGGGCUCAACCCCGGCCCGCCGUUGAAACUGGCAGUCUCGAGUUGGAGAGAAGUAUGCGGAAUGCGCGGUGUAGCGGUGAAAUGCAUAGAUAUCGCGCAGAACUCCGAUUGCGAAGGCAGCAUGCCGGCUCCACACUGACGCUGAGGCACGAAAGCGUGGGUAUCGAACAGGAUUAGAUACCCUGGUAGUCCACGCAGUAAACGAUGAAUGCUGGCUGUCCGGGGGGACUGACCCCUGGGCGGCGAAGCGAAAGCGAAUAAGCAUUCCACCUGGGGAGUACGCCGGCAACGGUGAAACUCAAAGGAAUUGACGGGGGCCCGCACAAGCGGAGGAACAUGUGGUUUAAUUCGAUGAUACGCGAGGAACCUUACCCGGGCUCAAACGGGGAGUGGCGCAGGCAGAGACGCCUGUUUCCCACGGGACACUCCCCGAGGUGCUGCAUGGUUGUCGUCAGCUCGUGCCGUGAGGUGUCGGCUUAAGUGCCAUAACGAGCGCAACCCCCGCGUGCAGUUGCUAACAGUCAACGCUGAGGACUCUGCGCGGACUGCCGGCGCAAGCCGCGAGGAAGGCGGGGAUGACGUCAAAUCAGCACGGCCCUUACGUCCGGGGCGACACACGUGUUACAAUGGGUGGUACAGCGGGAAGCCAGGCGGCGACGCCGAGCGGAACCCGAAAUCCACUCUCAGUUCGGAUCGGAGUCUGCAACCCGACUCCGUGAAGCUGGAUUCGCUAGUAAUCGCGCAUCAGCCAUGGCGCGGUGAAUACGUUCCCGGGCCUUGCACACACCGCCCGUCA